UUAUUUGUCUUUCGCCGAAAGCACUUCACAACAUCCUCCCGACACAAUCCUUAGCAUUUUUUCCCCGAUUCAAGCCUUCACAUUUUACCCAACGGUCAGCCUUCUCGUUUUUCCUCGAUGCACAGCUUUUGCUUUGAGACAUCUUCACUUCCAUUCCUCUCUACACUCUAGGUUUCUUCCUUCUCCCAUCCCCGUCUUUCAUUUCCUCUCUGCUACGCCAUUAGGGCUCUUCAUCUCUGUAGUGCCGUCGGCGGAUCAACCUUUGAUAGGUCAUCCUCUUUGAGGUUUCCUGUCCACGGGAAGAAGAUGCAACAUGAGCAAUUUCUACAAUUUUUUCCGCAAGCCCAAGGACACAAAGAAUAUCUGCAAGAGGAAAAAGUUGACUCCAACAAGGAAGUCUCCAUCGAUGAUAUUUUGUCUUCCAAUCCAACGAUGAAGAAGUUCACUGAGCUUUUCUUCUCUUCGUCCUCCUCCAAGAUGAAGAUCAAGUUCUCCAAGGAUGCACUUGCCAUCCGCGAGUGAGUGCUGAAGAGGGCAGAGGAGGCUCUCAUGGGCAAGUCCAAGCCUGGCGGAGGGGCGCCAUCCACGAGUGGGUGCUGAACAGGGCAGAGGAGGCUCUCAAGGGCAAGUUCAUAGGUACACUAAUUACAUUGUGCUCUAAAGGUAUGUGAUUUUUAUGAUGCAUCUGUUGGCAUGUGUUUUUUCUAAUAAUGAUUUCCUUGAACAUGUAUACUAUUCACAUGUAUUGUUCAAUAAGGCAUUAUACUAAGGCUCUGUUUACUUGGGAGAGCGGAAAGCAAAAUUAAGGAAAAGUUUUCACGGUGGAAAAGUUUCCGUCGUUUACUUCAU